rnacentral:rRNA from 1 species
AUUGAACGCUGGCGGCAUGCUUUACACAUGCAAGUCGAACGGCAGCGCGGGCUUCGGCCUGGCGGCGAGUGGCGAACGGGUGAGUAAUACAUCGGAACGUGCCCAGUAGUGGGGGAUAGCUCGGCGAAAGCCGGAUUAAUACCGCAUACGACCUGAGGGUGAAAGCGGGGGAUCUUCGGACCUCGCGCUAUUGGAGCGGCCGAUGGCAGAUUAGCUAGUUGGUGGGGUAAAGGCCUACCAAGGCGACGAUCUGUAGCUGGUCUGAGAGGACGACCAGCCACACUGGGACUGAGACACGGCCCAGACUCCUACGGGAGGCAGCAGUGGGGAAUUUUGGACAAUGGGCGAAAGCCUGAUCCAGCAAUGCCGCGUGUGUGAUGAAGGCCUUCGGGUUGUAAAGCACUUUUGGCGGGAACGAAAAGGACUGUGCCAAUACCACGGUUUGAUGACGGUACCCGAAGAAUAAGCACCGGCUAACUACGUG